CUCCGAGGAACUGUGACCUGAACAUAAGAACAGAGAGAAUACUGACCUGCAUGCUCAAGGAAAGAGUCUAUCCUCCAGGAAACCACACUUCAAAUACCAUUUCUCAAACAAAGACCUCUCACCCAUGGCUGGACUCAUUUCCAGAGAAUGGAAGCAGAAUGCCUAAACAGCCUGGUGUUCUAAAUAGAGACCCAGGUUCCUGGGAACAGUGAUGUUAUGUGCGACCUUGGGGACGCUCUGAGAAUUAAUGAGACAGACAAAGCCCUCAGGCUCUUUUGAAGAAAGAUGCACUAGAAAUCCUUGGGCUGUUACCAAGGGGCAUUGUCAUGAUGAUGCAUUUUAAAACAUUUUUCACCUGCAUUACUAAAAUAAACUCAGCUUGUAUUAAAAUAGUC